UGAACGCUAGCGGCAGGCUUCAUACAUGCAAGUCGAGGGGCAGCAUAAAUUACUUGUAAUUUGAUGGCGACCGGCGAACGGGUGCGUAACGCGUAUGCAACUUACCUUUUACUAGAGAAUAGCCAAGAGAAAUUUUGAUUAAUGCUCUAUACACUUAUUAAUUCACAUGAAUAUAUAAGAAAAGCUCCGGCGGUAAAAGAUGGGCAUGCGUCCUAUUAGCUUGUAGGUGAGGUAACGGCUCACCUAAGCUCCGAUAGGUAGGGGUCCUGAGAGGGAGAUCCCCCACACUGGUACUGAGACACGGACCAGACUUCUACGGAAGGCAGCAGUAAGGAAUAUUGGACAAUGGAGGCAACUCUGAUCCAGCCAUGCCGCGUGAAGGAAGACGGCCUUAUGGGUUGUAAACUUCUUUUAUACAGGAAGAAACCUUUCCACGUGUGGAAAGCUGACGGUACUGUAAGAAUAAGGAUCGGCUAA
rnacentral:rRNA from 1 species